GAUCCUGGCUCAGAAUCAACGCUGGCGGCGUGCCUCAGACAUGCAAGUCGAACGCGAAAGUUCCCUUCGGGGAACGAGUAGAGUGGCGUCCGGGUGAGUAACACGUGAGUAAUUUGCCUUCGGGUGGGGAAUAACAGCCGGAAACGGCUGCUAAUACCGCAUGAUGCAGCGGCACCUCAUGGUGACAGUUGUUAAAGCGGGGGAUCGCAAGACCUCGCGCCUGAAGAGAAGCUCGCGGCAGAUUAGCUAGUUGGUAGGGUAACGGCCUACCAAGGCAACGAUCUGUAGCCGGCCUGAGAGGGCGGUCGGCCACACUGACACUGACACACGGGUCAGACUCCUACGGGAGGCAGCAGUUGGGAAUUUUGGGCAAUGGGCGAAAGCCUGACCCAGCAACGCCGCGUGAAGGAUGAAGUUUUUCGGAAUGUAAACUUCACAAGAAUGGGAAGAAUAAGCCGGGGUUAAUACCCCCGGUGAUGACGGUACCAUUUGUAAGCUCCGGCUAACUCCGUGCCAGCAGCCGCGGUAAUACGGGGGGAGCAAGCGUUGUUCGGAUUUACUGGGCGUAAAGGGCGCGUAGGCGGCGCAACAAGUCAGUUGUGAAAUCUCUGGGCUUAACCCAGAGCGGUCAACUGAUACUGUCGUGCUAGAGUGCGGAGGGGGCAACUGGAAUUCUCGGUGUAGCGGUGA
rnacentral:rRNA from 1 species